UACGUAGGUGGCAAGCGUUGUCCGGAUUUAUUGGGCGUAAAGAGCGUGUAGGCGGCUAGGUAGGUCCGUUGUGAAAACUCGAGGCUCAACCUCGAGACGCCGAUGGAAACCAUCUGGCUAGAGUCCGGAAGAGGAGAGUGGAAUUCCUGGUGUAGCGGUGAAAUGCGCAGAUAUCAGGAAGAACACCCGUGGCUAAGGCGGCUCUCUAGUACGGUACUGACGCUGAGACGCGAAAGCGUGGGGAGCGAACAGG
rnacentral:rRNA from 1 species